rnacentral:lncRNA from 1 species
UUUUAUCAUUUUUGUAGGAAUCCUGAAGUUCCUAAAAAUGCUGCAGGUGGUGGGAGAAGGCAGUGAAGGAGACCAAAUAGGAGCUAUGAUUAGCAAGCGGGGAGCCAAGAAGUCCUGUGCUUGGGAAGCCAAGGCAAGAGGGAAGAAAAGAGGUCCCACAAAUGCUGGAGACAGUGCCCAUGUGCUCACCACAAGCUCAGCAGAGGGGAGGAGUGAACAUUCUCACUUUACAGAUGGGACGUGGGGGUGUCUCCCACAAAGGGACCCUGCAUGGCCCUGUGCUCAGUCAUGUCACCUUCAGAGGAUCUGAAUUCACCGUGGGACUCAACUUCACAAACACCAUCCCAGAUGCUUCCUGGCAAAGCAGUGAUGGCCCCUGACCACUGACUUCCUGGCUUCCACCUACUGGCACCUCCCUGUCUGGCCUGAACUUGCUUUUCCCUGUGCAGAGGCCAUAAGUGCCAGAGAGUAAUCAUGCUCCUGGGCACGGCCUUUGGCCACCAGCUGGGUACCAAUGCCCAGCCUGGGGCACUGGCUGCAUGUGGACUCCCAGGAUUCCCAGCAAGUGUCAUUGAGCUUCCUAUACAAGGGACAGCCUUGAGGCUGUGCUCUUAUUGGCUAUCCCUUCACAUCUCCCUUCCCUAAUCCCCUACUGUAUUUUGCAGAUGUUGCUGUAAUUGGCUGUGGUUUGUUGCCCGGGGUUCAUGUACCAGAAGCUUGGUCUUCAAUGUGGCCAUGAUGAGGUGGUGAAACCUUUAAGGAGUGGGGUGUAGGAGGAGGGAUUUGGUCAUUGGGGUGUGUCCUAAGUCAUUGGGAUGUGUGCCAGGUCUUUGGGGGUAUGUCCUAGCCCAUUGGAGUGUGUCCCAGGUCAUUGGGGGUAUGUCC